UUACUCUAAAUGUUAAUUCAAUGAGCAUCUUCUUUAAUUAUCCUAAUUGGUUUUUAAUUGAUUGUUUUUCAACUCACUAAAAGUAUGUUUAGCUUCCUGUCCCUUAAAAUAAUAUCUCUUUAUUUAUCCAGUGUGUCUCUACUCUGAGCCGGAGAGGAAACAAGAAUACAGUAGCUCUCUGUUUUAGAAGUGCUCUGUGCAAAUGUGGUUGAAAAAGCAGCUCCCCAUUACUAAACAGGCACAUGUCAUCUCCUCCUUCCUCACUGUGGAAUCUGAGCCUCUGAGAAGUGAGGUAACUUGCCUAAGUCUGCCAGAGGACUGAGACAUUGAAGAGACACACAGACGAGAAAGAUGAAUGGAUGUUUUAUAUAAGACCUGUGGAAGAGGAAGCUGUUUGCUGCCCAAGGCUGA